rnacentral:rRNA from 1 species
GAUGAACGCUGGCGGCGUGCUUAACACAUGCAAGUCGAACGAAGCACUUAAGAUUGAUUCUUCGGAUGACGUCUUUUGUGACUUAGUGGCGGACGGGUGAGUAACGCGUGGGUAACCUGCCUCACACAGGGGGAUAACAGUUAGAAAUGACUGCUAAUACCGCAUAACCCGAUAGGAUCGCAUGAUCCAGACGGAAAAGAUUUAUCGGUGUGAGAUGGACCCGCGUCUGAUUAGCUAGUUGGUGAGGUAACGGCCCACCAAGGCGACGAUCAGUAGCCGGCCUGAGAGGGUGAACGGCCACAUUGGGACUGAGACACGGCCCAAAAUCCUACGGGAGGCAGCAGUGGGGAAUAUUGCACAAUGGGGGAAACCCUGAUGCAGCGACGCCGCGUGAGUGAAGAAGUAUUUCGGUAUGUAAAGCUCUAUCAGCAGGGAAGAAAAUGACGGUACCUGACUAAGAAGCCCCGGCUAACUACGUG